UGGGGAAUUUUGGACAAUGGGCGAAAGCCUGAUCCAGCAAUGCCGCGUGUGUGAAGAAGGCCUUCGGGUUGUAAAGCACUUUUGUCCGGAAAGAAAUGGCUCUGGUUAAUACCUGGGGUCGAUGACGGUACCGGAAGAAUAAGGACCGGCUAACUACGUGCCAGCAGCCGCGGUAAUACGUAGGGUCCAAGCGUUAAUCGGAAUUACUGGGCGUAAAGCGUGCGCAGGCGGUUGUGCAAGACCGAUGUGAAAUCCCCGAGCUUAACUUGGGAAUUGCAUUGGUGACUGCACGGCUAGAGUGUGUCAGAGGGGGGUUAGAAUUCCACGUGUAGCAGUGAAAUGCGUAGAGAUGUGGAGGAAUACCGAUGGCGAAGGCAGCCCCCUGGGAUAACACUGACGCUCAUGCACGAAAGCGUGGGGAGCAAACAGGAUUAGAUACCCUGGUAGUCCACGCCCUAAACGAUGUCAACUAGUUGUUGGGGGAUUUCAUUUUCCUUAGUAACGUAGCUAACGCGUGAAGUUGACCGCCUGGGGAGUACGG
rnacentral:rRNA from 1 species